rnacentral:miRNA from 1 species
UACACAAAGGCACACACACAUCAACAUCUAAAAAUUUGCCUCUAAAAUUUGAUGAUGGCAACCACAGAUUUGCAUUCAAAGAGACAAUUUUUUGGAAGUUGAUGAUAUGUGUGUACUUGUAUCUUUCAUAUACACAAAUGCACACACACAUCAACAUCCAAACAAUUGCCUCUAAAAUUUGACAACGGCAGAAACAGAUUGGCAUUCAGAGAGACAAUUUUUUGGAAGUUGAUGAUGUGUGUGUGUUUGUGUC